CAACAGCAACAGCAACACCAACAGCAACAACAACAGCAACAACAACAACAACAACAACAACAACAACAACAAUAGCAACAGCAGCAACAACAACAGCAACAACAACAACAACAACAACAACAACAACAACAACAGCAACAGCAACGGCAACGGCAACAGCAACAGCAACAGCAACAGCAACAACAACAGCAACAACAAC
rnacentral:lncRNA from 1 species